rnacentral:misc_RNA from 1 species
UGCUAGUAAAGUUAAUAAAUCAAAAGCCAAUAGGCAAAGUUUUACAUUCAACUCUCAAAUCUUAAGCUAAAUGAAUCUUUCAAAUGGGCAAGUAUAACAAAAGGAGAUAUUUUUUUGGUUUUUGUCACAGUGCAAAUUCACAAGUAACUACACAUGAAUCCUUGAAAUGAAUACUCAAGAAUUCACAAGUGAAGAUUAUAUUCUAUGAUAAAUCUAUGAAUA